rnacentral:rRNA from 1 species
UACAGAGGGUGCAAGCGUUGUUCGGAUUCAUUGGGCGCAAAGGGUGCGUAGGCGGCACGGUAAGUCGGGUGUGAAAUCUCGGAGCUUAACUCCGAAACUGCAUUCGAUACUGCCGUGCUUGAGGACUGGAGAGGAGACUGGAAUUUACGGUGUAGCGGUGAAAUGCGUAGAUAUCGUAAGGAAGACCAGUGGCGAAGGCGGGUCUCUGGACAGUUCCUGACGCUGAGGCACGAAGGUCAGGGGAGCAAACGGG